CAAGGCAACUUGUAGAAGGAAGGGCCUAUUUAUAGUUCCUGUUCUUCUCAUGUCUCCUGAUCUAUAUGUCCUUCUACCUUCCCUUAAAUUUAGUGAUUUUCUUUUCUCUGAGAUCAGUGAUUAUCUAAUAAGUCCAGAAAAUGGUUUCUAGACUUCCAAGAAAUAAUUUCCACUGACCAUCAACAUCCAGAGGAAACUUCAAGGCCCACAUCAUGGUUUCAGCAUCAGAGCUGUGACUAGAGCCUCUUCACAAUGAAGCUUCACAUCACAGGAUAUCAGGAGAAGGCUACAAGAAGAUGAAGUUAAACUGAGCCAGUUCUCUGCCCUUUGGAUGAUUUCAAGCUGUAUCCACUGAAAAGCCUGAAUAACAAACAGGAGCAACAGGUAAUCUGCACUGUCUCUUCAAAUACCCAGCUGACAGAAGCCAGUGAUCCUUUGGGAAAAUGGCUGGUUCCAUGUCAGUUCAGGGAACACUGACC
rnacentral:lncRNA from 1 species